rnacentral:tRNA from 1 species
GGGGGGGUAGCCCAGUUGGUUAGAGCGCUACGUUGACAUCGUAGAGGUCAGCGGUUCGACCCCGCUCCUCCCCACCA